GGUCGCGUAACUCAGUUGGUUAGAGUGUCGUACUAAUAUUGCCAUCCUUGGGAAUACAUUCAGUAAUGCGAAAGCCGAGAGUUCAAGCCUCUCCGUGACCA